rnacentral:rRNA from 1 species
AUGCUUUCACAACUUGACUUCAAAAUAUUUGGUUUGGAGACCAUCAAAGAUCAAUAUGUGCAUGAUGCUGAUUUUAAAGAUGUAAUGCAGAAUUGUAAAGAAGGAAGAAUGUGGAACAAGUUCGUCGUUAACGAUGGAUUUGUGUUUCGUGCUAACAAGCUAUGCAUUCCAGCUAGAUCCGUUCGUCUUUUGUUGUUGCAGGAGGCGCAUGGAGGAGGAUUAAUGGGACACUUUGGCGUGAAGAAGACGGAGGACGUACUUGCUACACAUUUCUUUUGGCCAAAGAUGAGACGGGAUGUUGAGCGGCUGUUUUGA